UACGGGGGGGGCAAGCGUUGUUCGGAAUUACUGGGCGUAAAGGGCUCGUAGGCGGCCAACUAAGUCGGAUGUGAAAUCCCCAGGCUUAACUUGGGAACUGCAUCCGAUACUGGAUGGCUUGAAUCCGGGAGAGGGAUGCGGAAUUCCAGGUGUAGCGGUGAAAUGCGUAGAUAUCUGGAGGAACACCGGUGGGGAAGGCGGCAUCCCGGACCGGGAUUGGCGCUGAUGAGGGAAAGCCAGGGGAGCAAACGGG
rnacentral:rRNA from 1 species